GUUCCUGUGGCCUAAUGGAUAAGGCGUUGGACUCCGAAUCGAAGGGUUCAAGUCCCACCAGGAACA